CCUACGGGGGACAGCAGUGGGGAAUAUUGCACAAUGGGGGAAACCCUGAUGCAGCGACGCCGCGUGAGUGAAGAAGGAUUUCGGGAUGUAAAGCCCUAUCAGCCGGGAAGAAAAUGACGGUAGCUGACUAAGAAGCGACGGCGAACUACGUGCCAGCAGCCGCGGUAAUCCGAAGGGGGCAAGCGUUAACCGGAGUGACUUGGUGUAAAGGGAGCGUAGAGGGCAGAGCAAGUCGGAAGUGAAAGCCAGCGGCCCAACUGCGGGACUGCUUUUGAAACUGCCCGGCUAGAGUGCUGGAGAGGUAAGCGGAAUUCCUAGUGUAGCGGUGAAAUGCGUAGCUAUUAGG
rnacentral:rRNA from 1 species